rnacentral:rRNA from 1 species
GACGAACCGUACGAACGUUAUUCGGAAUUACUGGGCUUAAAGGGUUUGUAGGCGGCCUUGUAAGUCAGGUGUGAAAUCCCUCGGCUCAACCGAGAUGGCGCUUGAUACUGCAAGGCUUGAGGGAGACAGGGGUAAGCGGAACUGAUGGUGGAGCGGUGAAAUGCGUAGAUAUCGGGAGGAACACCUGAGGCGAAGGCGGGCUACUGGGCCGAUACUGACGCUGAUGCGCGAAAGCCAGGGGAGCGAAC